GGACGCGCCAUGCCAUUUCCCUCAUGAACUCACUGCAGCUGUGGUUGCCUGAGUGAGACCUUCCAGCCCAGAAGAAUUACUGGCAGGGCUUCAGGGUUUCAUGUCACUCAGGUUGUUCCCAAAUUUGCUACAUAGUUGAGGAUGACCUUGGACUUCUGAUCCUCCAGGGACAGGCUUGUGAACUUGACAAAGAUUAAGACACUCUACAGAGACACUGUAUGUAUCAGACUAUUGAAACAACAGACCCCAGAGAAAUGGGAAUUUUCACAGGAAUCUCAUUCUGAGAAAAGGAAGAGAUAACAGCAGAAGGGCAACUUGCUUUCCUGAAAGAGACUUCGCACAAUUCUAAGCACCUUACAGGAUGAGACUGACACCCAGAUAAUGAUGGGUCGACAGUGGGCCAAACCACACUUGUUCCUCUAUUUAAACUGUGAUCUCACUUCAGGACUACAAAGAAGGUUUUGGGGGCUCUCUGGAUCUCUUUGUUCCUCUUCCAAAACUGAUUAAAAGACUCAAAGCCAUUGUACUUGGGACUCUGCCUUUAGGAAACUCCCACAGAGCCAUGUCAUAGCAUAUAAUAAAGAGCCUCGGUGUCCUGUUUCUCUGUAGAGAAGACCUGAAACAGCAGAGCAAGGUAAACACCACUCUACAUGAGGAAGGAACUAGAAGGCCAAGGCAGAGUCCUGAAAAUAGCUAGAUUUGGGGUCUGGUCAUCCUAAAAAUCAUACACUUAGGAAACUCAGGUCUGUUAAUGUUAGUGCUAAGUGCAUGGAACACUGAAAAAAGGAAACAUGUUUCAUGACUUAAGAUUCACCAAUUCCAGGAAAACACAAAGCAUCAAAAGAAAAUUUACGGCUAAGUUUGAGAAUUUGUAUAGACAUACUAAUGCAGUAAUAUAUUCUAAUUGAACUAAAAUUAAGAUAUAAUGAAAUUAGAGAAUGAAAAGAUGGAUGUUGCCAGGUAUAAUCCCCAGCCCUGUUGUAACAGAAAAGACCAGAGAAGCAAGAUUUGAACCCAUAUAAGUCUUACUCUGUUAGAGGCUAUGCUUAUCCUGGGUAAAAUACCCAAGUAUUUUACCAUUACUCCAUUACUGACUACUCAGUAGGGCUUAAUAAAUGAUACGUGCUCAUAACCGUUAUUUAAAGGUAAAUCUGUUGAGGAAACACAAAGCUCAAUUCUAAUCAAUAUGUUUUUGGAUAACCUUGAUUAAAACAAUACCAAGCCACUCUUCUGCUCUCAUUAAUCAAGCUUUCCAUGUAAGAUGAGACUAAAUUCCCUACUAAUGAGAUCAUUCUAGACAGAACAUGUUCUCUUCUCCCUCUUUUGUGAAAAAAAUAAAGUUUGUUCAAAUUUUUA